CACCACCAUCCGCACGCUUCUCCUCCACCCCUACACGAUCCGCUGGCUUAAUUAAUUAGCAACCGGCAGGUAGCUAGCCUACUGGCCUAGCAUUAAUCCGGCCGGCCGGCGGCAGCCAAACUUGAGCAACAGCUAACAAACCAUCACGGGGGCUCGCUCCGGCGCACGCGCCAUGCGUCAGUCGGCGCCGUAGUAGCCACCAGCGGCGGCGGAGCCACUGCUGCUGGCGUCCCCGCCGCUGUCGUUGCCGCCGCCGCUGCCGCCGGUCCAGUCCUUGAUGAUCUGCUUCUUAAUCGAGCCCCUCUUGGGGUACGGGUUCCCGUGGGGCUUCGUCUUCUGCUUGCUGUCGCCGUCCUGCCCGUCCAUGGCGAUCGAGCGCGCGCGCACCGGACGCGGCGGUGGCGAGGGCGAGAGGCGGAGCCGCCCGAGGCUGGAAGUGGUUUUGCGUGGAGUGAGAGCGACGGCGCGAGUGAGGCUGUGUGGAGCUAGGCGUGCACGGUUGGGGGGUUAUCUUAUAGUACAGGAGUAGAAUAAUUGGCCCGGCCGGCGACUAGUCCUCACACAGAGCUUUGCAUCGAGCGUGAUCAUUGGCUGGUGCCUGGUGCGCGUUGCUGUCAUCCUCCCUCCAGCCCAAAAUAAACACAAGGAGAUUUAUCGUUUUUAAGUUUAACUAAGAAUAUAGAAAAUAGUAUCAACGUCUG
rnacentral:lncRNA from 1 species